AGUCUUAUAUUCAAAAAUGAUUUUAAAUUGCAAAUUUAAAGGUGACUAAAUGUCUAAGGCUU
rnacentral:tRNA from 1 species